AGUAAAGUCUGUUUUUUUUGUGUUGGAUGGAAUUUUUUGAAUUUAGAACAGUCUUUUGAGAAUGUAGGAUUGCACAUUGUGGUUAUUAGUUGAUGAAGGAGUAUUUUUACUAGAAGGAAGCAUUGUAGUAUUUCUUGGUGUUUUAGUGGUUUGGAUUACAGUUAAUUGAGUGACGGUAACUUGUAAGCUCAUGUACUUAGUAUUUCCUUGAG
rnacentral:lncRNA from 1 species